UCAGUAUCUCCGACCUACAAACUGUCCCUCAGCACAGCAUCCCCUCUCGUCUUUUUAAAGAGGUAUUUACUACGGUGGGCUCUGUCAUACUUUUAUUUGUUAAUUCCUCUCUUAGUACCGGAUGUGUCCCAACUGCUCUUAAACAUGCUGUUGUACAACCUCU